UACAGAGGUCCCAAGCGUUGUUCGGAUUUACUGGGCGUAAAGGGUGCGUAGGCGGUGGGGUAAGUUUGAGGUGAAAGCUCCGGGCUCAACCCGGAAAAUGCCUUGAAUACUAUCCGGCUAGAGGGUUGGAGGGGAGACUGGAAUUCUCGGUGUAGCAGUGAAAUGCGUAGAUCUCGAGAGGAACACCAGUGGCGAAGGCGGGUCUCUGGACAACACCUGACGCUGAGGCACGAAAGCCAGGGGAGCAAACGGGAUUAGAUACCCCGGUAGUCCUGGCCCUAAACGGUGCGUACUUGCUGUAAGCGGAUUCGACCCCGCUUGUGGCGCAGUUAACACGAUAAGUACGCCGCCUGGGAAGUACGGUCGCAAGAUUA
rnacentral:rRNA from 1 species